AUGAUUUCACACAUCCAGCUGAUCUGGCCCCUGGCAUUCUGUGUCGCAGGUAUCAGUGGGGACAUCACCAUGACCCAGUCUCCCCCGGUGCUGUCAGUGGGACUGGGCCAGACCGCAACCAUCACCUGUAAGGCCAGUCAAAGCAUUAGCAGCUACCUUGCUUGGUACCAGCAGCGAGAAGGUCAGAAACCCUCUCUCCUGAUCUAUGCUGCAACAACUCGAUUCACAGGAGUCUCCGAUCGAUUCACCGGCAGUGGAUCAGGGACCAGUUUCACCCUGACAAUCAGCAACGUUCAGAAUGAGGAUGUCGCUGACUAUUACUGUCAGCAGGGUUACAGCUACCCUCAGCUUACGUUCGGUAAAGGAACCAAGCUCAGA